CACGUAGUUAGCCGGGGCUUCUUGGUCAGGUGCCGUCAUUUCUUUCUUCCCUGCUGAUAGAGCUUUACAUACCGAGAUACUUCUUCACUCACGCGGCGUCGCUGGAUCAGGGUUCCCCCCAUUGUCCAAUAUUCCCCACUGCUGCCUCCCGUAGGAGUUUGGGCCGUGUCUCAGUCCCAAUGUGGCCGUCCACCCUCUCAGGCCGGCUACUGAUCGUCGCCUUGGUGGGCCGUUACCCCGCCAACAAGCUAAUCAGACGCGGGUCCAUCUUGCACCACCGGAGUUUUUCACACUGAGCCAUGCAGCUCCGUGCGCUUAUGCGGUAUUAGCACCUAUUUCUAAGUGUUAUCCCCCAGUGCAAGGCAGGUUACCCACGCGUUACUCACCCGUCCGCCACUAAGCCGCCAACAUUUCCACUCUUAGCAAGCUAAUCGCUUCAAAAAUGGUGGCCCCGUUCGACUUGCAUGUGUUAAGCACGCCGCCAGCGUUCAUCCUGAGCCAGGUA
rnacentral:rRNA from 1 species